AACGUAGGAGACAAACGUUAUCCGGAGUUACUGGGCGUAAAGGGCGUGUAGGUGGUUCUGUAAGUCUGGCGUGAAAUUUCUCGGCUUAACCGAGGCAGGUCGUCGGAUACUGUAGGGCUAGAGGACGGUAGAGGCGUGUGGAAUUCCGGGUGUAGUGGUGAAAUGCGUAGAGAUCCGGAGGAACACCAGUGGCGAAGGCGACACGCUGGGCCGUACCUGACACUGAUGCGCGACAGCAUGGGGAGCAAACAGG
rnacentral:rRNA from 1 species